rnacentral:lncRNA from 10 species
AGAGUGAAGGAGCAAAGGGGACUCGGCCGCCAUGUUAGGAGUACUGGGACGAUUCCGCGGAGCCGGGCAGAGGUUUUAGGGGAAUGAUUAACAAAGGCGUCCGAAGAAAUCGUUGUUGGAAGGUGACCAAGGUGGAAAGAGACGUUGCUUUGGCCCUGCAAGUAAGAAGAGAGAGGGAAUAGCCUGAAGGAGUAACACUAAAUUUAAAAUGACACUUUUUUACCAACCAGCGAAAGCAGAUGUUCAAAGGGGAUAUUGGCCAGAGUCUGUCACACUAAGAUGAGAAAUGUCCUUUCUUCCUGAAGGUGUCUGAUGUGUAAAAAUAUGAUAUACUUUGUGCUGUUUCCUCCCUUCCCUUUUGCAUAUUAUUCUGAAACAACAUUAACUAGUUACUUUGCGUCAUUGAAGGUAUGCACUUCCCCUCUAUGUUAGGAGUGAAUAAAAUUAAAAAUAGAUCCUUAUAACAAAGAAAGGCAGAUAGAAUGAUUAAAAAUGACCAAAACAUGUUAGAAACAGUCUCUCAGGUGUAUGCAGAUGGUAAUUACAAAAAUACUUUUUCAAAAAAUGAUCUUCUGUGUCAUGUUUCUGGGAACAAGUCAAGAUGAAUGAGUUUGAUUUUUAAGCAGAAGUAGUAUGUGUUGGUGUCAUCCAUGAAUACAACAAUGAAAAAGGC